rfam:Triticum aestivum genome assembly, contig: Triticum_aestivum_CS42_TGACv1_scaffold_513588_6BS
AAAUUACUUCCUCCGUUCAGAAUUACUUGUCUUAAAAAUGGAUGUAUCUAGAACUAAAAUACGUCUAGAUACAUCCAUUUCUGCAACAAGUAAUUCCGAACGGAGGGAGUACAAG